rnacentral:rRNA from 1 species
GUCUGUAAUGCAAUAACUUUUGGAUACUAGAUCCCAUCCGAUCUCGGAAGGUAAACCGUCCUGGGCCUGGCUAGUACUUGGAUGGGGACCCGCCUGGGAACCCCAGGUGCAAUAGGCA